AGUGAACGCUGGCGGUAGGCCUAACACAUGCAAGUCGAACGGCAGCACAGGAGAGCUUGCUCUCUAGGUGGCGAGUGGCGGACGGGUGAGGAAUACAUCUGAAUCUGCCCAGUCGUGGGGGAUAACGUAGGGAAACUUACGCUAAUACCGCAUACGACCUUCGGGUGAAAGAGGGGGAUCGCAAGACCUCUCGCGAUUGGAUGAGCCGAUGUCGGAUUAGCUAGUUAGCGGGGUAAUGGCCCACCAAGGCGACGAUCCGUAGCUGGUCUGAGAGGAUGAUCAGCCACACUGGAACUGAGACACGGUCCAGACUCCUAAGGGAGGCAGCAGUGGGGAAUAUUGGACAAUGGGCGCAAGCCUGAUCCAGCCAUACCGCGUGGGUGAAGAAGGCCUUCGGGUUGUAAAGCCCUUUUGUUGGGAAAGAAAUCGUUCAGGCUAAUACCCUGGGAGGAUGACGGUACCCAAAGAAUAAGCACCGGCUAACUUCGUG
rnacentral:rRNA from 1 species